GUCUAUAAUGAUAUUCAGCUGGAUGGCAAGUUCUUUCUAUAAGUGAAAUCCAAGCAGCCCGCUCUGUUGCCAAAGUGCAAAAGGUAUGUUGUCUCAGCACCUAUUGUAUUCUAUGUUUGGAACCUCUGAAAAUGUAGUAAUUCAAGUUCAUGGAUACACAGACUCAUUUGCUGUGACCACUGCUAUUAAAAGUUAUCCUGAUAAUAGUUCUACAUAU